rnacentral:rRNA from 1 species
GAUGAACGCUAGCGGCAGGCCUAACACAUGCAAGUCGAGGGGUAGCAGGAUUAAGCUUGCUUAAUUGCUGACGACCGGCGCACGGGUGCGUAACGCGUAUGCAACCUACCUUAUACUGGGGUAUAGCCCGGAGAAAUUCGGAUUAAUCCCCCAUAGUACUAAUGAAUCGCAUGGUUUAUUAGUUAAAGCAUUGCGGUAUAAGAUGGGCAUGCGUCCUAUUAGCUAGAUGGUGAGGUAACGGCUCACCAUGGCUACGAUAGGUAGGGGGCCUGAGAGUGUGGGCCCCCACACGGGUACUGAAGCACGGACCAGACUCCUACGGGAGGCAGCAGUGAGGAAUAUUGGUCAAUGGGCGCAAGCCUGAACCAGCCAUGCCGCGUGCAGGAAGAAUGCCCUAUGGGUUGUAAACUGCUUUUAUUUGGGAAUAAACCUCUUUACGUGUAGAGAGCUGAAGGUACCAAAUGAAUAAGCACCGGCUAACUCCGUGCCAGCAGCCGCCGUAA